UUAAAUGUUAAGCGUCAAUUUUUUUUAAUGACUAUUUCUCUUCGUCUUCACCAAUCGAUUCCUCUGCACUGCGGUUACUGUAAUCUCCUCUUCGUGAAUCUGUAAUGCUCUAAAUCCUCCUUUAAUUGUUUCGUUCCAUCUCCCCCUCUUUCUUCUUCUAUAUAAAGCCCUAAUCUGAUGUUUAAUCCACACCCUUUUCAAAACCGUAUAAAUCUUCCAAAAUUCAAGCGAUGAGCGAGAACAACUUCAACGAGAAUAAUAGGAGUAUUCUGUCCUAAUUACAACUCUGAUAAUGGCGAAUUGCAUACCAAAACUGGAAAAGGCCAUUGUUAUCUGCUUUUUUAGCUUCCAGAUGCGAGAGGAAGUUCUAAGAAGAUGAUCGGAGGAAGAAAGUCGAAGGCUUUAGUCUCUCAGCGCAAACCGUUUUCAGAGGCAAGGAAAUACUUUCUCAACAAAAGCUGGGACCUUAUUACUUUCUCAACAAAAGAUGGGUCCUUUUUUUUGUAAAUCAUGAUAAGGAGGGUUUCCAUUUUCUCUGAUUUUGAGAGAUAUGAGUAUCGCAGUCCAUUCAGAUUGCUUGGCCAGCCAACAAAUGGAAAGCUUGAAUUGAUGGAUGGUCAAUGAUGCAAACUUGAUGUGCAUGUCAAUAAAAUUUCUAGCAUCCUCGGGCCACACAGAAACUCCCUAAAAAAAGUUGAGCGCAACACACUGUAAGGUUUUUAUUAGAGGGCGAGGAUCUGUGAAAGACAUUGUCAAGCUGAAAUCAAAGAUAGAAAAAUCAACAACAGAGUUUUUAAAAUAUAAUCUUUAUGGAAACCAUCUGAGUGCGACAAUGUUUUGAGAUAUUGGCUAAUGUUUUGAGCAUCAGCAUUAGAAACAUAGGGAAAUUGCAAAAGUGAUCAUGAUGCAGAAGAUUCAUCAAGAGUAGUUUACUCAGAAAAAUCCCCUGAAGCAGAGAAAAUGGUGUACUGAUCUUAGUUGGAAAACUUAAGGGACACACAAUACCGAUACAUUGUGGCAAGACCUACAAACGUCUUUCAUUAUCCGAAAAGAAAAACGUAACGAAGAACUGUUUGAUGCAGCGACUGCUUAAGUAAAUGAAAGGCAAAAUAUUUCUCUUCCCUAAUUUGAUAGAGACACACUGUUUUGUAAAAUGAAUGAAUCGUUUCAUGUUUGGCUGGUAUUGUAGUCGCUAAAGUUCUUUGCUAACAAGAGGGAAAGAGCCGGAAGAUUUGGAAGUGAGUUUAAUAGAAUUUUUCAAGACCCUGCUUCUGAGUUAUGUGGUUGCAACUUGCAAGUAGGAGUAAAUGAUUAACACGUAAAAGUUUAUUUCCUUUGACGACAUGAUUAUUUGGAAUUAUUUUAGGGGGGUUUGUGGUAAUAGUUUAUAAAAAAAGUUAUUAAUUCA